CCCACUACGAAACUGGAACGGCGAAACCCAAACCCACGCGAAGAACCCAAGCAAGCGCCCCCACGCCACCGCGAUCCCCCUCCCCGAAUUCCCCACCCCGCCAUGCCCGACUCCGCCGAUCCCCUCACCUCGCCGGAUCCGGACAUGCCGCCGCGGAAGCCCCUCGCCGGCGGCGGCGGCAAGCUCAAGAAGCCCCUCACCGAGAAGCAGCGCGCCGCCGCGGAGCAGCGCCUGGCCCACCUCCGCGCCCAUCUCCUCCUCCGCCCCCUCGACUCCCCCGCCGCCGGGGCCCCGGCCCUCCCCCCGCCCCACGAGGCGGCACUCCGCGCGCUCGGCCUCCUCGGCUUCGCCCGCCUCGACCUGCACUCCGACGCCCCGCGGCCCGACCUCGUCGCCUCGCUCGUCGCCUUCUACGACCCGGUCUGCAAGCGCAGCUUCGUCCGCGGCGUCCGCGUCGCCGUCUCCCGGCACGACCUCGCCCGCGCUCUCUCCCUCCCGCCGAAGCCCGCCUCCGCGGCGGCGGCGCCGCCCGAUGUGGACCCUGCCGCGGUGGCGCCCGCGGUCAUGCAGCUCCUGCAGGAUUAUGUCCUGCUUCCGUUCCAGGGCGACGACAUGUGUAUACUACCGCAGGAGGUCGCCGCCGCGGAGCAGGCUGUCAGGGAGGGGUCAGCGCAUAGGGUUGACUGGGCGGGCCUGAUCUGGGGCCUCGUGGAGAAGGAGUUGCUUGAGCUUCCCAAGAGGGACGAUGGGGUUUGCUACUUCGGGCCGCAUCUGCAGAGGCUCAUCUGGGCGCAGAAGCCGAACCUGUUUGAGCCGUUGGACGGUGGGGAGAGAGGGGAGGCUGUUCCAGAGGCGUCUGUGGAUGUGGAGAUGGACGAGGAGGAUGGGGAUGCUGAUAUCGAUGUGAAAGCCAAGAGCUUGGUGGAGCUGGAGGUGGUAGAUGCAGAUGCAGAUGCGGAUAUGGAUGCGGGGGGCAAGAGCUUGGAGGAGUCAGUAUCGGGGAAUGCUGAUGUGAGGAGUGGGGGCUUGGACGAGUUGGAGCCGGGGGAUGCUGUUACAAGGAACAAUGUCUUGGAGAAGAUGGGUUUGGGCGAUGCAGAUGCCAAGAACAAUAUAGAGGAAUUGGAGGUGGUUGAUGAAGAUGCAAGGAGCAAAAGCUUGGAUAAAUCUGAGGCUGUUGAUGAGGAUGUUAGAAGCAAGAGCGUAGAUGAACCAGAGGCGGUGGAUGAGGAUGUGAGGAGCAAGAGCUUAGAUGAAUUGGAGGAUGCGGAUGAGGGUGUUAAGGAUAAGAGCUUGGAUGAAUCUGGGACGUUGGAUGGGCACGCAAACAGCACAAACCUGGACGGAUUGUGUUUGGAGUUUGGGGCAGUUGAAGCAGUGCUGGCUGAGGCGAUGCCUGACGUCAAAGAGGAUGCAGGGAAUGCAGAACCAGCAGGGGCUGAUGAUGUGGCAGUGGCUGCAGAAGAGGACAGCGAAGAGCCCUUGGUGGAUGCCGGAGUUGUGACACAGGAGGAAGUGGUGGCUGUAGCAGAGGAGGUGGGAGAUGAUGAGGGUGAGGAUGAAGAGAAUGAUGCAAUGGGGUUGAGCUUGGGUUUUAACUCUACAAACGGUUAUGAUAGUAUGGAUGUGGAAGAGGAAACACAUGUUGAAAAUCUGGAUGAGGGUGUCAGUGACAAUGAAGAGGCGGAGGAGUCAGAGGAUGAUGCAUAUGAGGAGGAUAAUGGUGGAGAGGACAUGAAUUGGAGAAUUGGGGAUGACAACGGGGAUGAGGGAAUGACACACUCCUUGCAGCGCUGUAAUACAUUUGGGGGCAUGGAGUUUGAGAAUUUGAAUAAAGGGGAGGCCGAGAUGAGGGAUGAGUUGGGGUUUGACGAUUUCUCUGCAAGGGGAUCUUUGGAAAGGAUGACAUCAUCAAACCUCCUCCAAGCUAUGAACUCAAUUCCCUCAUCGUACAACAUAACAGAUAAUGUGCAUGGCCUAUCUGGAGAAUUCUUGUCUAUGGGGGCUGAUGCACAUAAGAGUGGAGUGGACCUGGAACCAGGGAGCUCAUAUUUAUUUGGGAAUAAUGGCAAGAGGCACAUUGGUGAUAUUGAUGGGUACAAUGGCAAUAUGCAGGCACAAGAGCAGUUUCCUCAGUGCAAUCAGCAAAAGAGGAUGCGCCAUAGCAACAGUAGCAGCAUAUCACCCGCAUCAGGCUUUUUCAAUGCAAACUUUUCAGUACCUAUACAGAACUUGAUGGUUGAGGCAAGCAGACUCUAUGAGCAGAAGGAGCAAGAACUUCAAAGUUUGCAGUUUGAGAAACAACAUUGGUCUGACAUGCUGCAGCAGAAAGAAGCACUUAUCCAAUCCCUAAACUCAGCUCGGUUUGAGCAACAGAAUAAGUAUCAAGCGGAGCUUAGACGCUUCGAGCAUGAUCUGAAUGUUAUGGCCCAGUUGGUCACUUCCUACAAAAAAGCUUUGAAACACACCCGGGCUUCUUUUGAUGAAUACAGGAAGAAAUUCCCUUGCAACAAGCCUCUUUAUGGCGAUGUUACUGGUGGUGGCGGUCUUGUUCUUAGUGUGAAGGAGUUGGAGAGGAUUCGGUUUGAGGAGGAGCAACGGAAACUUGCUGCGGCAAAUGAAGUGAUUGACAAAUUCCAGCAUGAAUGGUUCUUAAAGCUUGAUGAGUGGAGCCUUUCUGUCAACUCACUGUGGAGCAGAAUGGAAGGAUUGUACAAGGAGAUUGAUCUUCUCAAGGAAAGCAGAAGAGCAAGAUUUGCUACCCCAGCUACAGAGGAAUGAGUUUCCUGACGGUCAGAGGUUCAGCUGUGAAGAUGGUCCCAGCUACUGCCUUACCCUUCUGCUGAAUGUUUUGAUGUCAACGAGAACACGUCAGCAGUUGUGGCUACCUGGUGGCUUUCGGAUGCGAAGAGUGCUGGUUCGUGGAAGCACAGCAACUUCAGCUUGACUGCGGACAUAAUAUUUCGCAGCAGGGGCAGCUAGAACAUAGCACAAGCUUCGUUGAAAAGAAAGAAGAAACAGCAAAGGAAACUCGCCAUGGAUGCAGUUGGCUCAGUUGCCACUUCAUUUGGAGAUCAAUUGGAUCUUCUUGGACACUAACUGAUAGAAUUGCAUAUCAGAUCGAGAAUGGGAUUCAAAGUUGCUUCUGCCACAGGUUCGUCAUGUGCUCAUCUCCUUGGGAGGAGAUGACAGCUCGAGCCAAAGUUUAUUGAAAGUACCGAGUCCUCACACAUACACGCCUCUUGUCUAUCUCAAGAUGGACUGCUCUUGUGGCAGGCGUAGUAGGCCUUGCCUAACGUUCCAAAUAACCUAGCCAAACGUCUCUUCAGCCAGGAACAGGAUAUUGGAAUCUCUCGGACUGGCCAUACAGCUGCUCUACUCUUGUUCCGUGCGAACAAGCAAAAGCUUUGCAUGUCAAGGUCUUAGAAGAUGAUGCAAGAAGCACACAAGUUUCCUUACACGACAUGGGCACUAAGCGUGACAAGAGCAGGAUUAAGAGAAAAGAAAGCCUAAACAGGUGGCUGUACAGAAUGACCAAAACCUGAACUGAAUGACAGAAACAGAAGUAGCAUAGAGCUUCAACAGGUAGCUGUACAGCACCAAAACCUGAACUGAAUGACAGAAACAGAAGUAGCAUAGAGCUUAAACAGGUAGCUGACCAAAACCUGAACUGAAUGACAGAAACAGAAGUAACAUAAAGCCUAAACAGGUAGCUGUACGAAUGACCAAAAUCGGAACUGAAUGACAGAAACAGAAGUAACAUGAAGGGGCAACCUAAUUGAAAUGAAGGGAUCAACACGGAAAUAACGAAGGUAACAUCCAUCUGUUAAUGCAAGAAUUAGGAAAUUAUAGUUGGUUAGGGGAUGGAGAAGAAGCAGGAUAAAGAUUUGGAUAAAGGUUUCAGUAGAUUGACAAAGUUCAACUGAGAGAUCAUGCAUUCAGAGUUUCAGAUUCAAAAUCAAAGACUUGAGCAGACUUUUUCCAUCCUCUGUGUUUGAUCAAACAGACAUUAUGGGAUCAAAACAAUUUAAUCAAACACUUGAUUGAUAAAGAAGAUCCUUACGUUGUGCAAGUAUCAAGUAGUUUUACGACGUCACUAGUGUUACCGUCAGCUCCUUCCUUGGCCUCCUCGGGAUUACUCAAUUCCGUUGAUGUGGAGGCAAGUUCUGUUUAUAUUUUGUUUGGGGAAGAUUUGUUCAUAUUUUCAUCCAUGUUAGUCUCUUAUUCCGUGCAGUCCAUGUACGUAUAUCUGCGUAAAAACGCCUUCUUGUGAAGCUUCCUACUCAGCUCUGUUUGAUAUGAGCUCGCCAUGGCCAUUUCUUGAUACAACUCGUCGGCUACGCACCUGCACGGCCCUACCAUUUUUCAUCUUAUUUUUGUUGCUCAUGCCAAGGUAUAAUUCUGGGAACACGCCUGAUGUUUCUGACAUGACUUGGGGCCUGUUUAUAAAGUUCGAAUUCGUACCAUGUGAACUUGUGGUACCGUGUGGUCGUGCAACCUUGGACAAAUUGGUCACAAGCUAGGCAAGAUUUCACAAGAACUGCUGGGGUGUUGAUAAAAUUUGAUACCCUAAGUUAAAUGUCAAAUACUCCCUCCGUUUUUUCUUGUCA